UACCUAUAUAGUAGGCGACCUAGCAUUCAAUUGGAGACGGAUCGGCCUGGGGUCGAGGCUAGCCCCUCCCCUAGAAAACAGAUAUGUUUGUCAGCUCUAUCUGCCUGAGUAGUGACUACUGACCAAGCAGCUUAGAUACCAGAUUAUUAAGUACAAAUUUGAAAUGAGCUCCAGUCCACUCACUACUAUCUUGAAAGGGGAGGAAGAUCUAGACACUGUCUAUGAGAAGGUGUUUCCCGCAAGAACAGUUUGGAAUAACAUUGGAUUGGGUUUGAGGUUAAGUCCCGAUACACUGGGUGCAAUUGAGGUGGAGUGUCAUGGUAAGAGCGAUAACGCUCUUCGUAAAAUGCUCAAAAUUUGGUUCGAUACGAAAAAGCCUACCUGGGAGAAGCUGUGCAAUUGUUUACGUAAAACGACAGUGUCAAGAAAUGUGCUGGCAGAUGAAAUACAAGACUAUGUACAAGAUGUACAAAAGCCAUCAGCAAAGCCAACAAGAAGCAAGGGGAAAAGAAAGAGUGAACCUCAAUCUGUUACUAGCACUGUGGAAACAACACAGUCUGGUCGAAAACGUAGAAGAGAGUCAGACUCAUCUGCUGUCAGCCCAAAUAGAGCAAAAGUGUUAAAGCCAGGAAAGAUUGAGGAUGAUCUAGUUCUCAUGAAGAUUGGUGAGGAGCUUGGAGACAAGUGGAUAAAUGUUGGGGUGGCAUUAAGAAUGAAGUUCAGGGACCUCAAAAACACAAUUGAAGAUAACCCCAGAAUACCGCAUCACCUCAAACCAAUGGAGAUGUUUCAGAAAUGGCAAAGUACAGCUGGUGACUCCUUCACAUACGCAACACUGGCCUCAGCACUGGAAAGGGUUAGCCUCGUUACAUGUGCACAAACACACUGUUAUGAACAAUGAUAGAUCUAGACAGUAAAAAAUAUUAUUUUUUAACACUUUAUAAAUAGCUAUUUUUUUCAUUUUUUCUAAUAAUUAUAGCUACACUGUUCCUCCAUUAGGAAUUAUUUUGACAAGUUAUGUAUAGUCUCGUCUCUAUUAACAAGUUUACGUCUCAAUGAUUAAAUAAAGAAAUUUUGGAUGUUAGUAGAUGUCAUCUCCGUGACAAUUAUUACCACUAUCCCAUUCAAA